AUUAGUUUGAGUCUUCCAGUUUAUUAGUCUUCCAAUCAAAAGAAGUGUAAACUAUGAACACCACACAAUGGUAAAUUUGUAAAUGUAAUGUUAGAACUCACAUCUGGCAUUGCUGCCCGAGUCUGGGGUGCUACUCCCUUCAGAAGGGAAGUCUUGAAUGCUUGAAUGCUGCCCCCCUUUUGAGGGGAGAUCAGAAUGACUGUUGAGUCACUUGAAUCAAAUUCAUCUGGGUCAGUCAGGUUGGCACUUUGGCUCCUCGAGUCGGCGCCUCUUUGGAUUGGUCUUUUGGGGUGAUCUCAAAUUUUUCAAUCUUUUGUAUAGCUGUGAGUACACAGUAACCUGUGACAAGAAAAAUUCAAAUAAAUGCUUCAAACAUCAAACAUGCACCUGGAUGCAUUUGACCUACCCAUGCAUACUUGCUGCUCAGGUCUCGGUCCUGCAGCAUGGGGUAGUACAGCACUGUUCGCUUUGCCAUAGCUGUUAUUUCUGGCUUUGACGGGUAUCUGUCUCUAUCCCCCGUUGCCCUCAGGAUUGCGAUCAUACUGGUCAUGGUGUUUCGGAUGAGCCGACAUCUGAGGUCCUUUGACAUUUGGCAGUUUCUCUCUUCGCCGGCCCUCGCCAACUCAAAAUAUUGUUUUUGGGCAUUGCUCUAGUUUGGUGUCAGUGUGCAAUACAUAUUCUGGGAAGGAUAACUCAACAACAUUUUCAGGUGUUGUGUGCUUUGCAGGACAUCUUUUUACUUGAGUGGAUGUCUGAGAUAGGGGUGACCCAAUCAUAGAAGUAGAACUGCUCGUUGAUUUUGAGUCUACAGUUUCCUGUAAAAUAAAAUAUAAUUAAGUAUUUGUAAAAGCAACUUUUAAUUUAUACUGUCUUAACACAAAUUGUGAUGCAGCAUUGACAACUCCACUAAGGUUAUAACAAUAAUCCUAAAUAGUUUGUGUUAAUAUUCUCCUUUUAGUGAUAAUGAAGGUAGGUUUAGUGAUUGCCUUAUGGUGUUGGAUAUAAAUACUUACUAAACAAGCAGAAAAUGAAUAAACUUACUUCAUCAUCAAAAAAUGUAAAUACACAUGAUAUAACAAUAGAUAAAGAAAUGACAUACCUCAGUGGAUUAUGCAUCACAUCAGAGUGGUAAAUUAAACAUUUUAAUCAGUCGUAACUCUCUUAAUUCUGAAGCAAUUUUAAUUCAAAUUUACUGAAUGUAUAUAGCAAUCUACAUUUUUUAGAAACUCAUAAAAGCAUACAUUCUAAAUAAUUUAUAUUUUAAGUUGUGGUUAUUCCGAAUGUUUUAGUAUAAUAGAACAGAGUAGAUCCACCCCAGUAACUGGAUUUAAUUGAAACACGUAACCAGUAUAAAGUUAAAUUUAUCCAAUUUAUAAUAAAACCAUUCCAUUCAAAUCUGUUCAGAAUUAAGAGUUACUACCGAUUUUAUAGAGAGGACUGCAAGUCUUAAUCUGUUUAAAUUUAGCUGAUCUUAACCUCUCUGAUGAAUCAUAAGUAUUGCAAAGUAGGUUUUUACUUACAAGGGAUUUUUCUUGGUGUUACUGGUGCAUAUUAAAUAUGACGAAAAAUUAAUAACCACGUUAAAAAUGUAUAUUUGACUACGUUACCUCUUAAAGUCGACACCGUGACGUCAUCAAGUUCGUCCAUGCUGUUAGCAGUUUUAGCUAGCAAGUUAAAUAACGUUAGCUAACGUUAGCUAGCAAGAUAGCUAGCUAACGUUAGCUUGUGCUCGGCUGCAACAGUGUACACAACAAAUAAUAUUAAAUAUAAUAUUUAAAAUGUAUUGGACUAAAAAAACUGAGAUAUUCGAUACAACUUAACCUGCAAUGAAAUACGAAUUCAAACCGUCUCGGACGAGGCAGCUUAAUUACGCACCUGUAACGUUCCCUCCAGUGAGCCGUCUGUGUUCCGUACUGCGCAUGCCCAACUUUCAACAGACACGACAAACGAGUAAGACGUCUCACUCCUUCAAAGAACUAGUGACUGUAUUAUGCUCACUGUAUUAUGCUCAGAUUUUGAAUAAAACGCGUUGUUUUUCAGAGACGGAAAUAGUAGUGGAGUGGGUCCUCUCUCUUUUUUGUUUAAUCUUUAAUGAGGACUAACGUAAAAUAGCGGGACAGCCUGCCCACUGCUGAGCCGUAGACUGCUACCAUUUACAAAACAGGGGUUUAUGGCAUUAAUUAAUUUUUUCAAAUUAAUUAAAAACAACUAGUUUUUGAGUGUUUUUAGGAAUGUGUUAUAUUUGUGUAUAGCUUGACUAAAUUGUUGCCCAUUUCAGAUGAAUUAUUCUGUAAAGAUAACUAAAUAAGAACUUGAUAAACUACCGGUAAUUUCUCCCGGGCUGGAUAUAACGUGUUGGCUUGCUGCACUCGCCUUAACGUUAGGAACCUUGCUCCUCCAAGAUGAUCUGCCGUUGUUUCAUAUGCUACAUUUUUGUGGCGUUUACACUGAAAAACAUUGAGUCACAUCAACUCUUUACACAGUCGCAGCCCUGACUUUCGCAUAGUGUGUGGCAUUGAUGGCUGUCCUAGUGACUAUAUGAGUGUAUAACAUAACAUGAUUCAGACACAUUCUGGGGACCUUGGUCAACUGAAGAGUGAUGUGAUGGGAGUAUUUGACCAGUUUAAUGACCCUUUCAGUCAAAUCGCUACAACACAUUUGCAGGAUAAAACAAUCAAAGAACUGUUACAGCCAGUUGAACCAGAGACGAUUAUAUAAAAAAAUACGGUAUGUUAUGAGAGUUCUUACCAUUGAACACCAUUACUUUUAUUAUAUACCAUUGUUGAAGUUUGGAACAGCUGUUAAUGCAUCCAAGAGUUCUUGCAAUGAUUGAUCAGGGGCCACAGCCAUGCCGGGAUGGAUUUUUUCACGAUUGUAUUGAUGGAGACAUUUUUAAAUCACACCCACUGUUUUUGAGAGUCCCCACAGCAUUGCAAUUCAUUUUAUAUACAAAUGAAAUUGAAUUGUGCAAUCCUCUUGGAUCUCGGGCAAGCAAAAACAAAUUGUUAUUGAUUUAUUACACCUUAGGUAACAUCAACCCUAAAUACAGAUCAAGACUUGCUGCCAUUCGUCUGCUUGCCAUGGUAAAAUCAAAAGAUAUUUCUGAUUGUGGUAUUGAUAAGGUGCUUGAGAGCAUUAAUUGUGACUUGAUUGAGCUGUAUGAUAGUGUUAAAAGUUGUCACUGCAAAUGGUGAGAAGACAAUUUUUGGGGCGCUUAUGACUGUGUGUGGAGACACUCUAGCUCAACAUGAAGUGGCUGGAUUUAAGGAAGGAGUAGGGUUUGCUUACAGUAAAUGCAGACACUUGAAUGCAACUUUGACGACAUGCAGGAACAAUUGAAUGAAGAUUUGUUUGUUAAAAGGACCAUGACAAGUCAUAUCGACAAUGUAGAGACAUUAAAAAAGCAAGCACUGACUUUCUGAAAGAAAAUCUUGGUAUUAUAUGGUAUUAAUAGGAGAAG
ensembl:lncRNA